CGCUGGCGGCGUGCUUAACACAUGCAAGUCGAACGAUGAUGCCCAGCUUGCUGGGCGGAUUAGUGGCGAACGGGUGAGUAAUACGUGAGUAACCUGCCCUUGACUCUGGGAUAAGCCUGGGAAACUGGGUCUAAUACUGGAUACUACCUCUUACCGCAUGGUGGGUGGUGGAAAGGGUUUUACUGGUUUUGGAUGGGCUCACGGCCUAUCAGCUUGUUGGUGGGGUAAUGGCUCACCAAGGCGACGACGGGUAGCCGGCCUGAGAGGGUGACCGGCCACACUGGGACUGAGACACGGCCCAGACUCCUACGGGAGGCAGCAGUGGGGAAUAUUGCACAAUGGGCGGAAGCCUGAUGCAGCGACGCCGCGUGAGGGAUGACGGCCUUCGGGUUGUAAACCUCUUUCAGUAGGGAAGAAGCGAGAGUGACGGUACCUGCAGAAGAAGCGCCGGCUAACUACGUGCCAGCAGCCGCGGUAAUACGUAGGGCGCAAGCGUUGUCCGGAAUUAUUGGGCGUAAAGAGCUCGUAGGCGGUUUGUCGCGUCUGCUGUGAAAGCCCGGGGCUCAACCCCGGGUCUGCAGUGGGUACGGGCAGACUAGAGUGCAGUAGGGGAGACUGGAAUUCCUGGUGUAGCGGUGAAAUGCGCAGAUAUCAGGAGGAACACCGAUGGCGAAGGCAGGUCUCUGGGCUGUUACUGACGCUGAGGAGCGAAAGCAUGGGGAGCGAACAGGAUUAGAUACCCUGGUAGUCCAUGCCGUAAACGUUGGGCACUAGGUGUGGGGGACAUUCCACGUUUUCCGCGCCGUAGCUAACGCAUUAAGUGCCCCGCCUGGGGAGUACGGCCGCAAGGCUAAAACUCAAAGGAAUUGACGGGGGCCCGCACAAGCGGCGGAGCAUGCGGAUUAAUUCGAUGCAACGCGAAGAACCUUACCAAGGCUUGACAUUCACCGGACCGCCCCAGAGAUGGGGUUUCCCUUCGGGGCUGGUGGACAGGUGGUGCAUGGUUGUCGUCAGCUCGUGUCGUGAGAUGUUGGGUUAAGUCCCGCAACGAGCGCAACCCUCGUUCUAUGUUG
rnacentral:rRNA from 1 species